rnacentral:snRNA from 1 species
ACUCAUAUUUUGCAGGGGAAAUACCAUGUCAUAAAAGUGGUUUUUCUAGGGAGAGACUCAUCCAUUGCACUGUGGGUGUGUUGCUGAUCCCUAUAAUUUUCCCAAAUGUGGGGAACUCAACUGCAUAAUUUGUGUUAAUGGGGGAUUGCCCUUG